rnacentral:rRNA from 1 species
GACGAACGCUGGCGGCGUGCUUAACACAUGCAAGUCGAACGAAGUGGCGAACGGGUGAGUAACGCGUAAUCAACCUGCCCUUAAGAGGGGGACAACAGUUGGAAACGACUGCUAAUACCGCAUACGGAAGGAGGGGAUUGCGAUGGAUUAGCUAGGUGGGGGGGUAACGGCCAACCAAGGCGAUGAUCAGUAGGCGGGCUGUGAGGAUGAACGGGCACAUUGGGACUGAGGCACGGCCCAGACUCCUACGGGCGGCAGCAGGGGGGAAUCUUCCGCAAUGGACGAAAGUCUGACGGAGCAACGCCGCGUGAGUGAUGACGGCCUUCGGGUUGUAAAGCUCUGUUAAUCGGGACGCGGUACCGGAAUAGAAAGCCACGGCUAACUACGUGCCAGCAGCCGCGGUAAUAC